CCUACGGGUGGCAGCAGUGGGGAAUAUUGCACAAUGGGGGAAACCCUGAUGCAGCGCCGCCGCGUGAGUUAAGCAGUAAUUCGUUAUGUAACGCUCUAUCAGCAGGGAAGAAAAUGACGGUACCUGAGUAAGAAGCCCCGGCUAACUAGGUGCCCGCAGCCGCGGUAAUACGUAGGGGGCAAGCGUUAUCCGGAUUUCAGGGGUGUAAAGGGAGCGUAGACGGCAGUGCAAGUCUGGAGUGAAAGGCGGGGGCUCAACCCCCGGACUGCUCUGGAAACUGUACGGCUGGAGUGCAGGAGAGGUAAGUGGAAUUGCUAGGGUAGCGGUGAAAUGCGUAGAUAUUAGGAGGAAAACCAGUGGCGAAGGCGGCUUACUGGACUGUAACUGACGUUGAGGCUCGAAAGCGUGGGGAGCAAACAGGAUUAGAUACCCGUGUAGUC
rnacentral:rRNA from 1 species